rnacentral:rRNA from 1 species
AUUGAACGCUGGCGGCAUGCCUUACACAUGCAAGUCGAACGGUAACAGGUCUUCGGAUGCUGACGAGUGGCGAACGGGUGAGUAAUGCAUCGGAACGUGCCCAGUUGUGGGGGAUAACUGCUCGAAAGAGCAGCUAAUACCGCAUACGACCUGAGGGUGAAAGCGGGGGAUCGCAAGACCUCGCGCAAUUGGAGCGGCCGAUGUCAGAUUAGGUAGUUGGUGGGGUAAAGGCCUACCAAGCCGACGAUCUGUAGUUGGUCUGAGAGGACGACCGGCCACACUGGGACUGAGGCACGGCUGAGACUCCUGCGGGAGGCAGCAGUGGGGAAUUUUGGACAAUGGGCGCAAGCCUGAUCCAGCAAUGCCGCGUGCAGGAAGAAGGCCUUCGGGUUGUAAACUGCUUUUGUCAGGGAAGAAAUCCUCUGGGUUAAUACCCCGGGGGGAUGACGGUACCUGAAGAAUAAGCACCGGCUAACUACGUGCCAGCCGCCGCCGUAA